CAGGGAUUGCCUCAGUAUCGGCGAGUGAAGCGGCAAAAGCUUAAAUUUGAAAUCUGGCAUCAGCCCGAGUUGUAAUUUGUAGAGGAUGUCUUCAGCAAAAGGCUUUGAGUCUAAGUUCCCUGGAACGGGAUAUCAUGGAGGGUGAGAAUCCCGUACAUGGUUCAUUGUCUCUUGCAUCAUGAAGCUCCUUCAACGAGUCGAGUUGUUUGGGAAUGCAGCUCAAAACAGGAGGUAAAUUCCUUCCAAAGCUAAAUAUUAGCCAGAGACCGAUAGCGAACAAGUAGAGUGAUCGAAAGAUGAAAAGCACUUUGGAAAGAGAGUUAAAAAGUAUGUGAAAUUGUUGAAAGGGAAGCGCUUGCAACCAGACUUUUCACUGUAGGUUAGAUCAUCUAGGCUCUUUGGCCUAGUGUACUCUACCUAUAUUGUGUGCCAGCAUCGGUUUGUUAGUCGAGAGAAAAAGGUAGUGUGUUGUCGAUUCCUCCGGGUAUUUGGCAUGCAUCUACAGGUACAUCUUGAACCCAGACCGAGGACAGCGCUUUUUGCAUGGAUGCUGGUGUAAUGGUUGUAAGCGGCCCGUCUUGAAACAC
rnacentral:rRNA from 1 species